rnacentral:rRNA from 1 species
UGGGGAAUAUUGCACAAUGGGCGCAAGCCUGAUGCAGCCAUGCCGCGUGUGUGAAGAAGGCCUUCGGGUUGUAAAGCACUUUCAGCGAGGAGGAAGGUGGUGAACUUAAUACGUUCAUCAAUUGACGUUACUCGCAGAAGAAGCACCGGCUAACUCCGUGCCAGCAGCCGCGGUAAUACGGAGGGUGCAAGCGUUAAUCGGAAUUACUGGGCGUAAAGCGCACGCAGGCGGUUUGUUAAGUCAGAUGUGAAAAUCCCCGGGCUCAACCUGGGAACUGCAUUUGAAACUGGCAAGCUAGAGUCUCGUAGAGGGGGGUAGAAUUCCAGGUGUAGCGGUGAAAUGCGUAGAGAUCUGGAGGAAUACCGGUGGCGAAGGCGGCCCCCCUGGACGAAGACUGACGCUCAGG